UGAGAUGGAAAGCUUUUAUUCUUGGGG
rnacentral:piRNA from 1 species